CGCCAGUCUGCAUGGAGCCGACCUUGAAAUACCACCCUUUAAUGUUUGAUGUUCUAACGUUGACCCGUAAUCCGGGUUGCGGACAGUGUCUGGUGGGUAGUUUGACUGGGGCGGUCUCCUCCUAAAGAGUAACGGAGGAGCACGAAGGUUGGCUAAUCCUGGUCGGACAUCAGGAGGUUAGUGCAAUGGCAUAAGCCAGCUUGACUGCGAGCGUGACGGCGCGAGCAGGUGCGAAAGCAGGUCAUAGUGAUCCGGUGGUUCUGAAUGGAAGGGCCAUCGCUCAACGGAUAAAAGGUACUCCGGGGAUAACAGGCUGAUACCGCCCAAGAGUUCAUAUCGACGGCGGUGUUUGGCACCUCGAUGUCGGCUCAUCACAUCCUGGGGCUGAAGUAGGUCCCAAGGGUAUGGCUGUUCGCCAUUUAAAGUGGUACGCGAGCUGGGUUUAGAACGUCGUGAGACAGUUCGGUCCCUAUCUGCCGUGGGCGCUGGAGAACUGAGGGGGGCUGCUCCUAGUACGAGAGGACCGGAGUGGACGCAUCACUGGUGUUCGGGUUGUCAUGCCAAUGGCACUGCCCGGUAGCUAAAUGCGGAAGAGAUAAGUGCUGAAAGCA
rnacentral:rRNA from 1 species